GACGAACGCUGGCGGCGUGCUUAACACAUGCAAGUCGAACGGAAAGGCCCUGCUUUUGUGGGGUGCUCGAGUGGCGAACGGGUGAGUAACACGUGAGUAACCUGCCCUUGACUUUGGGAUAACUUCAGGAAACUGGGGCUAAUACCGGAUAGGAGCUCCAGCUGCAUGGUGGGGGUUGGAAAGUUUCGGCGGUUGGGGAUGGACUCGCGGCUUAUCAGCUUGUUGGUGGGGUAGUGGCUUACCAAGGCUUUGACGGGUAGCCGGCCUGAGAGGGUGACCGGCCACAUUGGGACUGAGAUACGGCCCAGACUCCUACGGGAGGCAGCAGUGGGGAAUAUUGCACAAUGGGCGGAAGCCUGAUGCAGCAACGCCGCGUGCGGGAUGACGGCCUUCGGGUUGUAAACCGCUUUCGCCUGUGACGAAGCGUGAGUGACGGUAAUGGGUAAAGAAGCACCGGCUAACUACG
rnacentral:rRNA from 1 species